rfam:Pisolithus microcarpus 441 unplaced genomic scaffold scaffold_753, whole genome shotgun sequence.
GGUAGCGUGGCCGAGUUGGUCUAAGGCGUUGGAUUUAAGAAGUUUGAAUCCCAAUGGGCGAAAGUCCGCGCGAGUUCGAACCUCGCCGCUACCA